rnacentral:rRNA from 3 species
GGGUUGUGAGGUUAAGCGACUAAGCGUACACGGUGGAUGCCCUGGCAGUCAGAGGCGAUGAAGGACGUGCUAAUCUGCGAUAAGCGUCGGUAAGGUGAUAUGAACCGUUAUAACCGGCGAUUUCCGAAUGGGGAAACCCAGUGUGAUUCGUCACACUAUCAUUAACUGAAUCCAUAGGUUAAUGAGGCGAACCGGGGGAACUGAAACAUCUAAGUACCCCGAGGAAAAGAAAUCAACCGAGAUUCCCCCAGUAGCGGCGAGCGAACGGGGAGCAGCCCAGAGCCUGAAUCAGUGUGUGUGUUAGUGGAAGCGUCUGGAAAGGCGCGCGAUACAGG